AAAGACACUCAAGCAGCACUGUGAAGAGGCGCAGGUGGUAAAACUGAAGACCUUCACAAACAGCCAGCACUAAUUUGCCAACCAAAUGACGGUCUUUGGAAAACAGAUCCUCUGGCCUCAGGUGAAAAAUGAGAAGAUUAAAUAAGCCAUGGGAAGAUUUUUUAAAAUGACAUGAAACUCCAAGGGUAAAAAGUAGGCUGGGAAAUCUUAGGAUGGUGAACCAUCAUGUUUCCUGAAUGUGAAUCCUGUACCUGGUUUGACUGUAGUCACCCCUUCUCCAACACUCUCCACGAUGCCGGCUGCCUCAUGGCCUAAAAUCACAGGAAGUGGGGUCACCAUGGUACCACUAACCACGUGGUCAUCUGUGCCACAGAUUCCUACAGCCACCAUCUACAGAGUGAAGAGAAGAUGUUUAUAAAAGAUUGUGAGUCUCAGGAUGUUCAACAUGAUCAAUGCCAAAUAAAUAUCAGAAUACUUGGAAGUAAAGUACUAAUAGUAGGAGUUCCUGAUUAUCAGGUGCCUAUGAUGUGACAGGCACAUUGUGGCCUGUGCUCGACCAGGAGACUGGUGAGUCCUUGUGGAUUUCUUCCCUGCUCAAGUGCAUAAAGCAGGUGUAUUGCAUAGCUUUUCCAGGCUGAGAUCAAAGACGGAGAUGUGCCUACCCGCAGAUCCUAGAUGGCCAUGUUUGCAACAGAGGUAAUGAUGAGCAGUGCGAAGAUGUGACUCCAAAGCCUGGAGAAGGACAGACCAGCAUCCCUGCAAGAGAUCCAACUGUCUUCUUUUCCGCAGAGGUCCAUAAUUUACAUGGGCCUGACAAAGAAUACUGUAACUUGCAGAAAUUAUCUUCAGUUCAAAUCCUUCAUUUUGGGGGUUAAAUAACUUGGUAAGAUAAUGAGAUUAAUAUUAUUGUAAAGAUUGCUAGAAAGAAUUGUAACAGUUCAUGUAUGUGCAUAAAUAACAACCUUAAAGCAUGUUUUGGGAUGAGGUGCAAAAUGAAAAUUGGGAGAGGGACUUUAGUAGCAGUAAACAGAACUUGAGAAUGGAAUAGAUGCAUACUCUAUAGCACACUGCAAUAAAUAGAAUACAUUUUAAGUUCCUAGAGAAAUUUUUGAAAAUGCCACAUUCAAAGCCAUCAAUCCCUACUCAAUUAGCAUUUCAUUUUGAUUUUGGUACUGAAGCCCAAGAUGUCGAGGGAGCGGAAAUACUUGCUGGUCUUGCAGCGGCUGUGGAGCCUGGAAUCCUGCCAAGAAGAGCAUGUGUGAGAGAUCAAAAUGUUUGCUUACAUUCCUCCUGUGAAGGGAGUUGGGAAAUAACCUAAGAAGCCCAAUCCAAAAACAAAGAUGUACCAUCCAGUCUUCUCUGUGAGAACCAAACUACAAACCAUCUGAAUGUUCCAAAAGUGUUUUGAUGAUGUAUUGAUGUAUUUUAAAUUAUCCUGAAAAUGUUCUUGGCAGAUGCUUAAACAUGUAAUUACUGAGAUGAUGUAGAAAUACCAAGUGUUUAUUAAAACAAUACAGAGUAAUACAAAUGGUAUGUUUGUCGCAAUAUAAAAGUAUCUAAAAAUUAAAGAGUUCUUUAAUGGUGGAGAUUGUUUUCCUUUUUGAAGUUAAAAUAUAAAUUUUUGUAAAAAGCACAAAUUAUUACUAUUUAUAGCUAACAUUUAUGGAGUGCUGAC
rnacentral:lncRNA from 1 species